rnacentral:rRNA from 1 species
GACGGAGGGCGCGGGCGUAUUCGUUUUGAUUGGGCGUAAAGGGUAUGUAGGUGGUUUUCAGUUUUUUGGCGAAAAUAGCGGAGGGUUCCUACGCGAUAUGCCUUUGAAGAAGAAAACUUGUGUUAGAGAGAGAUCGGGGCAAAACUUUAUGUAAGGGUAAAAUCUUCGAAUAUAAGGUUGAACGCCAGCAGGCGAAGGCGCCCUUUCCGCUCUAACAGACGCUGAGGUACGGAAGCCUAGGUAGCAAACGGG